rnacentral:rRNA from 1 species
UAAUAAACUAAAUAUAAGUCGAAUAAUAAAAACCACCGUUCUAAACUCAAAAAAUUUGGCGGUAUCUUAUAUAAUUAGGGGAACCUGUUUCUUAAUAUGAUACUCCACAAUAUAAUCUUCCUUCUAAUGUUUUCAGCCUGUGUACUGCUGUCAUAAAUAAACCUAUAAAAGAUAGAUUAUAAAUCUACUAAAUAAAUAUGUCAAGUCUAAGUGCAGCUUAUAAGAAGGAGACCAAUGGGUUACAAUCUAUAACAAGACAAAUUGUAUUAAAUACAUAAUACAUAAUAAUGGACUUAAUAGUAAUAUACUGCAAUCAAUAUAUAAAACAUUUCCUAAGAUGUGCACACAUCGCCCGUCACUCUUGUCAAAAGACA